rnacentral:rRNA from 1 species
CCUACGGGCGGCAGCAGUGAGGAAUAUUGGUCAAUGGGCGAGAGCCUGAACCAGCCAAGUCGCGUGAAGGAUGACGGCCCUACGGGUUGUAAACUUCUUUUGUCAGGGAGCAAUUGAGUCCACGUGUGGGCUUAGCGAGAGUACCUGAAGAAAAAGCAUCGGCUAACUCCGUGCCAGCAGCCGCGGUAAUACGGAGGAUGCGAGCGUUAUCCGGAUUUAUUGGGUUUAAAGGGUGCGUAGGCGGAAUAUCAAGUCAGCGGUAAAAUCGUGGAGCUCAACUCCAUCCAGCCGUUGAAACUGAUGAUCUUGAGUGGGCGAGAAGUAUGCGGAAUGCGCGGUGUAGCGGGGAAAUGCAUAGAUAUCGCGCAGAACUCCGAUUGCGAAGGCAGCGGACCGGCGCCAGACUGACGCUGAGGCACGAAAGCGUGGGGAUCGAACAGGAUUAGAUACCCCUGUAGUC